CGCAGAACGCUGGCCUACCAUCGUUGUGUUUUCGUGCACAAUUAUUUAAUGCCAUUUAUUCACAGUCGCAGGCGUUUACGCGCAUCGAGUUACGUGUUACAAGUUACUCUUGAUGAAACGCAAACGGGUUACACGUAUAUUCGUGUGUACCGAGUUGCGUGCGAUGAUCGAGCCGGCUGCUACUCGCUGCCAUUACUUGCGCUAUUUCACAAAACGUAUGCGGGUAAAAAUUGAGUGUCGGGUAACAGAAAUAUUUUAGCUACAACAAUUGAAUUGCUAGAUCUGAGAUAAAAGCCCAGCGACAAUCGGACGCGUGGACGGCCGGAUAGGAGUUUACGUGUUACUUGAUUCUUGGCUGCCGUUAAGUCAAAUCCAUCACCGUUCACAUACGUGAUCGAGCAUUACCGAUCACCACAUCUCAUAAUACGUGACACGGUGGACCUCGUGUCUAUAGAUCGACCCGUUCGACGUUUCGGUAUAGUGGUGCAAGUUGCGAAAAUUAGUAGCUCACAGCACGCAUCUCGAUGCACGUAAACGCAUAAGCGGUUGUCCCUCAAUUAUUUCUGUUACCUGAUAUUCAACUUUUAGCCGUACGCGUUUUGUCGAAUAGCGUAAGUAACGACAAUUAUUUCGGCCCAACGCACGAAACUCGGCGGACGGUAAAAAUGGUGUGUUAUCCGAGAAUAGCAGCCUAUAAAGCGAAUCGUGUGCGGUUCGCAGCGUCGCCCUACCACGGUCCACGUCUUCCCUCCGAAGUGGUGAUACAAGCGUAGAUGUAAAUGCCUUAAUUACAAAUACGGAGCUAAUCACCCGAAAUUUGAGAAUUCCAAGUCACCACGGUCCUACAGUUUCCGACGAAUGCAAGCUGUCGACACUUUCGUUUCAUAUUAAUCGAAACAGGGCUACGCGUUGACACUGCACUCACGACACGGUCGACGGAUAUGGAUAUGACAUGGAUACGGGAAGAUUGGGUUACGGAACUUUGUUGUCAAAAGAAGACCUCUAAGUUUCAGCGCGCUCGUCGUCCGUGAUAGCAAAGGACAAAAUCAGCCGCCUUUGCAGCCUCGCCAAUCGCCGAACAACGGUCAAACGAUCAACCACCGCUUGAUUGACCGAUGCACCCCCGCAUGCCUACGUACGUACGUACAUAGGCAGAUGUGCACGUAUAAUGUUCACCGUACGUUUAUCACUGUGUUUUUAUGGGUUCAGCUCAUCGUCCACGCCUAUCACGGCUAUCACCUGAAACCUGAAACGAUCAACAUCUCUCUACCCUGCGUAGAUUGACAAUCGAAUGUCGUGAUCACGUGAUAGAUUCCAGAAAAAUUCCCGGUAAUCGUUAUUGAAACGGAGGAGUUUUACCUUAUAAACGUCACAUGAUAGAUAUUGGUAUUAACAAGCCUCCGCGGCGUCUCAUACUCUGGAGUAUUUCGAAAUUCGACAUCGGCUUACGAUCUAACCGGCGUGCUGAAUCUUCGGGGACAUGCGGAUCCUAACGAAGCACAAGGAGCUAAUUGAACGCGAUGCCAACGACAUUUCAAUACUAUGGAAAUUACUACAAAUGUUGUUCUACUGUGUUAGCGCAAUAGCCGGCUACGUCACCGCACACGCAUUUUUUAUGUUUCAGGUAUAAUUCAGCUCUGAUCUCGUCAAUGGGACAACCUUGGCAAGACAGGCUGACAGUCAGUUACAACACUCAACAUCAUUGCUCUACGAUACAGAUAAUAUCGAUUCUUUCGUGCAUCUGUGGUAUUGUUGGGUUUUCUUUCUUUUCCAUAUGUGGGCGCGGAGGUUACCAAGUUGGAAUAUACUACAGUCCCUGGAGACUGGUUGGACCGGCUAUACUUUUCAACUUAUGUCUGACGUUGCUAACUUGGCGGUCGGCCUGCAAUUUCCAAGAGGGAUUCCAUCAUUUUCAAUACCGUCUCAAUGGGAUGCUAAAUCAAUCUGGGAAUGAACCCAUCACGGAAUACCUGCCGACAGGCAAAAAAAACACCUACAACAGACUUGUGUGGAAAUAUUAUGGAAUCACAAAGGUAUGGCACGAUGACAAUUCUAUCACACUCCAAAUUGACAUCCUUACGUGACGCCGAUUUUAUUCAAAGAAUUUAUUUAAACAAAAUUUAUGGGUAAUAUCGGCCAUCCUUGAGUAUGAUUCUCGAUUACGAAUUUUGCGAGAUUACUCAUUUAAAAUAUUGAAACUUGCGCUUCGUCUCACCGCAAUACAAAAGAUCUCAUCUUGGGUGGAAGUUGCUGCCUGGGUCAUGGGACUUACACUUCUGUUACUACGAGUUGUAAAUGUCACCGACUUCAGGUUGAUGAAAACCUCUGUAUAUGCCCUCGAAACAGAAGACGAAGAACAUCGAGAUGGAUCUCUUCGCUACAGAUUCGAAGAAUCAUGAACUUUGGUAGUGCGCGUUAAAAUUUUAACCGGUGUUUCUAGCGCUCCUCGGUUUGAUCCAUUCUUACAAUGAAUAAAUCCUAUUCUUUGCAUA